AUUGAACGCUGGCGGCAGGCCUAACACAUGCAAGUCGAACGAGUGGCGGACGGGUGAGUAAUGUCUGGGAAACUGCCUGAUGGAGGGGGAUAACUACUGGAAACGGUAGCUAAUACCGCAUACCAUCAGAUGUGCCCAGAUGGGAUUAGCUUGUUGGUGGGGUAACGGCUCACCAAGGCGACGAUCCCUAGCUGGUCUGAGAGGAUGACCGGCGACACUGGAACGGGGAAACGGUCCAGACGCCUACGGGAGGCAGAAGUGGGGAAUAUGGCACAAGGGGCGCAAGCCUGAUGCAGCCAGGCCGCGUGUAGGAAGAAGGCCUUAGGGUUGUAAAUUACUUUCAGCGGGGAGGCGUGACCCGCAGAAGAAGCACCGGCUAACUCCGUGCCAGCAGCCGCGGUAAUUC
rnacentral:rRNA from 1 species